CGCAUCUGUGCAUGCAGCAUAUCAAUAAGCGGAGGAAAAGAAACUAACAAGGAUUCCCCUAGUAACGGCGAGUGAAGCGGGAAGAGCUCAAAUUUGAAAUCUUAAAGGGUUUCCCUUUACGAAUUGUAGUUUAAAGAAGUGUUUUCUGUUGAGGUUUUGGUAAAAGUUCUUUGGAAUAGGACAUCAUAGAGGGUGAGAAUCCCGUAUUUGACCUUUACUUUCAACUUUGUGAUACACUUUCAAAGAGUCGGAUUGUUUGGGAAUGCAGUCCAAAAUGGGUGGUAAAUUUCAUCUAAAGCUAAAUAUUGGCGAGAGACCGAUAGCGAACAAGUACCGUGAGGGAAAGAUGAAAAGAACUUUGAAAAGAGAGUUAAACAGUACGUGAAAUUGUCAAAAGGGAAGCGUUUGACACCAGUGUUGUUUUUCUGAAAAUCAAUUAAAGAACUGUUUAUGCUAAGUUGUUUAGACUUUAUCAGCUAACUGUUUAGUUUUGAGCUUUUCUUUAAUGCACUUUUCAGUUAACAAGUCAACAUCAAUUUCUUUUGCUGUAAAAAAGCUUGAGGAAGGUGGCUUGAGAUUCGUCUUAAGUGUUUAUAGCCUCUUGCCUACUGCAGUCGGAGAGAUUGAGGUCUGCAGCGUAGAUCCUUCGGGGCUAAAUGCAUUUGUGCUAAGUUAUAGCAUUUUAUAGACAACUUGUUGACUAUGAUUUGUCUUGUAGCUUACUCGCUUAUGUUAUUUUACCUACGCUUAGGAUGUUGAACGCGCACAGAGUCUC
rnacentral:rRNA from 1 species